GACGAACGCUGGCGGCGUGCCUAAUACAUGCAAGUCGACCUUAGUGGCGAACGGGUGAGUAACACGUGGGUAACCUGCCCAUCAGAAGGGGAUAACACUUGGAAACAGGUGCUAAUACCGUAUACUGAUGGAUGGACACGGGGUGCAUUAGCUAGUUGGUGAGGUAACGGCUCACCAAGGCAACGAGUGAUAGCCGACCUGGUAGGGUGAUCUGCCACAUUGGGACUUGGCAACGGCCCAAACUCCUACGGGUGGCAGCAGUAGGGAAUCUUCGGCAAUGGACGAAAGUCUGACCGAGCAACGCCGCGUGAGUGAAGAAGGUUUUCGGAUCGUAAAACUCUGUUGUUAGAGAAGCGGUAUCUAACCAGAAAGCCACGGCUAACUACGUGCCAGCAGCCGCGGUAAUAC
rnacentral:rRNA from 1 species